rnacentral:rRNA from 1 species
AGUGAACGCUGGCGGUAGGCCUAACACAUGCAAGUCGAACGGCCGCACAGUAAGAGCUUGCUCUUACGGGUGGCGAGUGGCGGACGGGUGAGGAAUACAUCGGCAUCUACUUUUUCGUGGGGGAUAACGUAGGGACACUUACGCUAAUACCGCAUACGACCUACGGGUGAAAGCAGGGGAUCUUCGGACCUUGCGCGAUUGAAUGAGCCGAUGUCGGAUUAGCUAGUUGGCGGGGUAAAGGCCCACCAAGGCGACGAUCCGUAGCCGGUCUGAGAGGAUGAUCAGCCACACUGGAACUGAGACACGGUCCAGACUCCUACGGGAGGCAGCAGUGGGGAAUAUUGGACAAUGGGCGCAAGCCUGAUCCAGCCAUACCGCGUGAGUGAAGAAGGCCUUCGGGUUGUAAAGCCCUUUUGUUGGGAAAGAAAAGCAGCAGGUUAAUACCCCGCUGUUCUGACGGUACCCAAAGAAUAAGCACCGGCUAACUUCGUG